CCGACGACGCCAUAUUUAUUUUUCAUUCCAUCAUAAUCGUUUGCAGUUGUACGCAUUAUUAGCGUUUUACCAGUAUGAGGCCUUCAAAAACAAGAACGCAGACCCGAUCGUUCUCAAAUCCUGAAAUUUUGCGUGUGAUCCUAAACCAACGGCAACUUUCAUCGCCACCAGCUGGCAAACAGGCAGACUCCAGUGCGACCGUCCCGCCCGUUGAUGACAGUGGCCGGAAAAGUAAGACCCUCCUGCGCUCACACGGUCACCUAUCUGGUAUGCACUUUUCGCAGUUUCACAAUGACCUGUUGGCUACUGGUUUCCCACACUGCCUGCUGGCACAUCCAAAGAGGACAGACAGCUCCAUCUCAAACGCAGUAUUAGUUUUCGACAUAUCAGCGAAGGGUGAAAACCGUUGGAUUCCAUCCUGCGAUCCAUCCUGCGAGAUUCCAAUGGGCUCUAAGUUACCUACAGGAGUCAUUUGCGAAUUCAAUGCCACUCGGCUGGCUGCGGAAAAUAAUAUUUAGGAACUUGAGGAUCUUGUCAGUUGGGCAGGCGCUGAAAUUUGAUUGAUAAGUUUGGCAUUUAUACAAGCUAUUACACGUCGUCAUGUGUGAUACUAAGAUAUCGUAGUACAUAUUUGGAAGCAACGGGCAAGGAAGGAAGGUCAAGAGGAGAGUACAUAAUUCUUUCGGGAACUCAAAUGUAAUCUUAUUAGAAUUCUGUUUUGAAUUCUGCAAAGAAAAGACAGGAUCACCGUUCUGAAA